rnacentral:rRNA from 1 species
AGGACGAACGCUGGCGGCGUGCUUAACACAUGCAAGUCGAGCGGAAAGGCCCUUCGGGGUACUCGAGCGGCGAACGGGUGAGUAACACGUGGGCAACCUGCCCCUAGCUCUGGGAUAACUCCGGGAAACCGGUGCUAAUACCGGAUACGACCUCAUUAGGCAUCCUUUGAGGUGGAAAGAUUUAUUGGCUAGGGAUGGGCCCGCGGCCUAUCAGCUUGUUGGUGGGGUAAUGGCCUACCAAGGCGACGACGGGUAGCCGGCCUGAGAGGGCGACCGGCCACACUGGGACUGAGACACGGCCCAGACUCCUACGGGAGGCAGCAGUGGGGAAUAUUGCGCAAUGGGCGAAAGCCUGACGCAGCGACGCCGCGUGAGGGAUGACGGCCUUCGGGUUGUAAACCGCUUUCAGUGGGGACGAAGCUAACGUGACGGUACCUACAGAAGAAGCACCGGCCAACUACGUGCCAGCAGCCGC